rnacentral:rRNA from 1 species
GAUGAACGCUGGCGGCGUGCCUAAUACAUGCAAGUCGAGCGAACAGACGAGGAGCUUGCUCCUCUGACGUUAGCGGCGGACGGGUGAGUAACACGUGGAUAACCUACCUAUAAGACUGGGAUAACUUCGGGAAACCGGAGCUAAUACCGGAUAAUAUAUUGAACCGCAUGGUUCAAUAGUGAAAGACGGUUUUGCUGUCACUUAUAGAUGGAUCCGCGCCGCAUUAGCUAGUUGGUAAGGUAACGGCUUACCAAGGCAACGAUGCGUAGCCGACCUGCGAGGGUGAUCGGCCACACUGGAACUGAGACACGGUCCAGACUCCUACGGGAGGCAGCAGUAGGGAAUCUUCCGCAAUGGGCGAAAGCCUAACGGAGCAACGCCGCGUGAGUGAUGAAGGUCUUCGGAUCGUAAAACUCUGUUAUUAGGGAAGAACAAAUGUGUAAGUAACUAUGCACGUCUUGACGGUACCUAAUCAGAAAGCCACGGCUAACUACGUG